rnacentral:tRNA from 1 species
CGGAAUGUAGCGCAGCUUGGUAGCGCGUCUAUUUUGGGAGUAGGAGGUCAUGGGUUCAAAUCCUAUCAUUCCGA